UCCAGACUCCUACGGGAGGCAGCAGUGGGGGAUAUUGCACAAUGGGGGGAACCCUGAUGCAGCGACGCCGCGUGGGUGAAGGAGCGUUUCGGCGCGUAAAGCCCUAUCGGCAGGGAAGAAGGAGGACGGUACCUGACUAAGAAGCCCCGGCUAACUACGUGCCAGCAGCCGCGGUAAUACGUAGGGGGCAAGCGUUAUCCGGAUUUACUGGGUGUAAAGGGGGCGCAGACGGCAGCGCAAGCCAGGAGUGAAAGCCCGGGGCCCAACCCCGGGACUGCUCUUGGAACUGCGCGGCUGGAGUGCAGGAGGGGCAGGCGGAAUUCCUGGUGUAGCGGUGAAAUGCGUAGAUAUCAGGAGGAGCACCGGUGGCGAAGGCGGCCUGCUGGACUGCGACUGACGUUGAGGCCCGAAAGCGUGGGGAGCAAACAGGAUUAGAUACCCCUGUA
rnacentral:rRNA from 1 species